rnacentral:misc_RNA from 1 species
GAUAGAACGUAGCGAAAUGCGAUAACUAAUGUGAAUUGCAGAAUUCAGUGAAUCAUCGAGUCUUUGAACGCACAUUGCGCCCCCUGGUAUUCCGGGGGGCAUGCCUGUCCGAGCGUCAUUGCUGCCCUCAAGCACGGCUUGUGUGUUGGGCUCCGUCCCCCCGGGGACGGGUCCGAAAGGCAGCGGCGGCACCGAGUCCGGUCCUCGAGCGUAUGGGGCUUUGUCACCCGCUCUGUAGGCCCGGCCGGCGCCAGCCGACAACCAAUCAUCCUUUUUUCAGGUUGACCUCGGAUCAGGUAGGGAUACCCGCUGAACUUAAGCAUAUCAAUAAGCGGAGGA